GUUUUUUGUAAUAUAAUAUAUUAUAGUUACCUUCCAAGUAAAAAAUCUCUAAGAGCUUAAGAGUA
rnacentral:tRNA from 1 species